UACAGAGGUCUCAAGCGUUGUCCGGAAUCAUUGGGCGUAAAGCGCGCGUAGGCGGCCCUGUAAGUCCGUUGUGAAAGUCAAAGGCUCAACCUUUGAAAGCCGAUGGAUACUGCAGGGCUAGAGUCCGGAAGAGGCGAGUGGAAUUCCUGGUGUAGCGGUGAAAUGCGCAGAUAUCAGGAAGAACACCCGUGGCUAAGGCGGCUCUCUAGUACGGUACUGACGCUGAGACGCGAAAGCGUGGGGAGCGAACAGG
rnacentral:rRNA from 1 species